rnacentral:rRNA from 1 species
AGAGUUUGAUCCUGGCUCAGGAUGAACGCUAGCGGCAGGCCUAACACAUGCAAGUCGAGGGGCAUCGGGAUUGAAGCUUGCUUCAAUUGCCGGCGACCGGCGCACGGGUGCGUAACGCGUAUGUAACCUACCUAUAACAGGGGCAUAACACUGAGAAAUUGGUACUAAUUCCCCAUAAUAUUCGGAGAGGCAUCUCUCCGGGUUGAAAACUCCGGUGGUUAUAGAUGGACAUGCGUUGUAUUAGCUAGUUGGUGAGGUAACGGCUCACCAAGGCAACGAUACAUAGCCGACCUGAGAGGGUGAUCGGCCACACUGGGACUGAGACACGGCCCAGACUCCUACGGGAGGCAGCAGUAGGGAAUCUUCGGCAAUGGGGGGAACCCUGACCGAGCAACGCCGCGUGAGUGAAGAAGGUUUUCGGAUCGUAAAGCUCUGUUGUUAAGGAAGAACGAGUGUGAGAAUGGAAAGUUCAUACUGUGACGGUACUUAACCAGAAAGGGACGGCUAACUACGUGCCAGCAGCCGCGGUAAUACGUAGGUCCCGAGCGUUGUCCGGAUUUAUUGGGCGUAAAGCGAGCGCAGGCGGUUAGAAAAGUCUGAAGUGAAAGGCAGUGGCUCAACCAUUGUAGGCUUUGGAAACUGUUUAACUUGAGUGCAGAAGGGGAGAGUGGAAUUCCAUGUGUAGCGGUGAAAUGCGUAGAUAUAUGGAGGAACACCGGUGGCGAAAGCGGCUCUCUGGUCUGUAACUGACGCUGAGGCUCGAAAGCGUGGGGAGCGAACAGGAUUAGAUACCCUGGUAGUCCACGCCGUAAACG